AAUUCGACCGUGACAUGUACGUGACACGAAGGGUUUAUGUUUUACGUUUGUUUGUUGAUGUUUGUCCGAGGAAAUCUGCAUCGAGUUUGGAGAACGGUAUUAGAUCCCGAUAAAGUUCAAUCUUGCGAGAGUGAAAACUAGAAGACAUCGUUUUCAUUGAUGGCUGAAAAGAGACCUGCUUCUCCACCUCCUGGUUUUGAUAAAGUGGAAGAGGAUACAUGGGAAGGUGUAAAGAAUCCUCAACGAAAAAAACCUGUUAAUGGUCAUACAGGUGUGUUUGCAUAUCACUUUGAUGACUGCAUGUGUGGAAUGGCUGGCUGGCCAUGUUGUCGGGAUGGAACCAUAUGGAGUUGUUGUGGAGAGACAGACAAGUACUGCCGCUGCACAAAGAAAAAUAAAAAAGCGGCAACAAACACACAGGAAAAGAAAAAUUAACUGAAUCAUUCUCAGGUCUUGAAUUUAAGAUAUACAUGUUAUUUGGUUUUUUCUUGAAGAAGAAUUGAUAGCAGAGAACUCAAUCCAGCCAUAACAAGAUAAACCAUUUAGUUUCCUAUUUAAUGAGUAUAAUGAAAUUUCCUGGGUCAGAACAUGAAUAUGGCAAUAUCACAACAUCAGCAUCAAUGAAAAGAGGUUGACUGGAGAUCAAACACUUUAUGACUUGACAUGACAGCCUCUCAUCUUAUUGAUGAAACAGUUUAAUCAUGAGUAUUGGCCCAGUAAAAGUGUUAAGAAGCUCAAAGCUGACAUGUUCUUAUUUUUAAAGACAUCCACUGUUUUCAGACAGAGAUGAAAAUUUUGAUAAUAGCUUUAAGUAGACUUGAUUCAAGACUUAUUUCAUAGAAGAGAGAUACCUGAGCUUAGCCCUUGUGAGGGAAUCUGCCAAAGUAGUUAAAAAAAAUGCAUCAAAAUGUAAUAAAAUAUAAAAUUUUUUCUCAGAA